GUUCUGUGCCCCUCUCUUCAAAAAGGACAUUGAGGUGCUGGAGUCCAGAGAGGAGCAACAGAGCUGAUUUUUUCUUCUGCCACAGUGCUGCCAUAAGCAGGAGUUUGCUGUGAGCCUCUCAACACACCUCUCUCAGCCAGCCUCUUCCCUGGCAGCACUUUAUUUGCUGAAGGUUGGAUACACCUCUGUCUCUCCCUCUUCCCUUCUCUCUGCCCUAUCUUGAGGAUGUUUCUGGCAGAAUAUGUGAGUCUUAUUAUGAAAGAGAGUGGUUAUUAUCCAGUGCAGUAGCUUGGAAAGGACUGGAAUUCACAUUUUAGCAUGGAGGAAGGAGAUUUGCUGCCAUCUGCACCUGGUGAGAGAAAGAGCUCCACAGCUGGAGGCAGCUGCCAAACUUCUGCCAAGCACCCUGCCUGUGAAAUAAAGCAGGCUGCUCAGUUCUGCACCCAGCACAAGUGUUACGUCUACAAAUACAUUAUCAGGCAAAGUGCUUUUA